UUGAGAACGAUCUCCUAUGUGAGUCCAUCAGAUGAAGGGAUUACUACAUUUGAACUGUGUUCAGGAAUAAAAUCUGAACCCCUGAAUAAAUGUAAUGAUGCAAUGAAUCCUUUCUCGGGUGCAGAACAGUGACUGUGUAAAUGCAAAUAAAGAGUUUGAGGUGAUUCCUCUUGAGCCAAGGUUGAGUUACAUUAGGAGAACAUCUUCAUUUUGUGCUGUUGUGUGCUGGUGUUAGAAAGUAUCAUAUGCUAAGGCGAGCAAUCCACCUAAGUUUAUCUAGUCUCCUCGCUUGCUAGAAAAAACAUAACACCUUUGAACCCAAAAAUAUCUGGGAGAGACGACUAAGCUCUGACAUCUCUUAAAGUCAUGAACCAUGCGCUGUAUUUUGGCACUGACGCCACACCAAACUCAACCUAUCCGUUCGGUGCUUGCAUGUAUUUCUGUCUGUGCAGCAAAUGUGACAAAUCAGAAAUACUGAAGCUCGAUAUUAUCUCUUCUAGUUUCCAUUCAGAGCAGGAGAACCAGCUGGGAGAGCUGGUUGAGCGAUGCGUGCUGACUGCCAGGGCUCCCCUCAGUGAGCUGCUGACUGAGACCCACCUCCAUGAGAAGGAAAUGAAAUCACCAGCCCACAGUCAUUAAGAGGAAACUUAGCAGAAAGUGCGACGGGAAGGUCUGAUGUCCGGGAAAGGAGUGGAAGCUGUGAGCUCCCUCCUGAGGGAGCUGAGAUGCUGGAAUUACUAAGGAGAGUCCUUCCUGUUUCCUGCAGGUCACCUUCCAGCUCUGGGCUGGUGCAAAAGAGUGAGGAGAGGCAGCAGGCAGGUGGGACUGCAGAGACAAAUCUGAUGCCAACAAGUGCAGUGGUGCUCCAAGAUGACCCAUCGCCAUGCUGAGGGGUCAGGAUGUGCUGUGCUCUGUUUUACAGCUUGACUCCUACACCUGGAGAAAGAGAGGUGGUUUACAUCCUCCAUUUUCCAGAGAUUCUGCAGGUACUGGCAAGUAUCAGCGCUCUGGCCCCGCUGUCUACAGCCUUAUCCAUUUGGCGCCUGCUCCAGCCCUCUCACAUUACCAGCAGUGGGGUCUGUUUUCAGCUGUGAAAAGCUGAUCUUUCUCCACCAUUUCCCUGGGAUGUGAGGAUGGAGUGACUGGCUGUUCCUGCUCACUCCCACAGUAACUCCUGGACAUGACAGGUUGGGUGGGAACCCAGCUAGAAGAAGCAAAAUCUCACAG